UACGGGGGGGGCAAGCGUUGUUCGGAAUUACUGGGCGUAAAGGGCUCGUAGGCGGUUCGAUAAGUCGGACGUGAAAUCUCCACGCUCAACGUGGAGGGGCCGUUCGAUACUGUCGUGACUCGAGUCCGGAAGAGGAGAGUGGAAUUCCUGGUGUAGCGGUGAAAUGCGCAGAUAUCAGGAGGAACACCCGUGGCGAAAGCGGCUCUCUGGGACGGUACUGACGCUGAGACGCGAAAGCGUGGGGAGCAAACAGG
rnacentral:rRNA from 1 species